rnacentral:lncRNA from 1 species
GGGACUAAGGCUAAGGCUAAGGUCCAAAGUUCAUGAGGUGCUCAUAGGGUUUCUAGGACUAGUUUGGGUCCUAGGAUGAAAGACUGUCAGCCUUUCGGGUCUUGAGGGUCGGGAGACUUGAGCCUUAAGGGGCUAACUUAUUUUGGGCUAGAUUUGAGUCUUAGGUAGAUGAGAUUUAUUCAAAUCAUAGGUGUACAUGGGUUUGGGUUAGCACAAAUCUCAUAUCAAGUUAGUCAAGGGAGUUUUGUGGUUGGAUC